UACGUAGGGUGCGAGCGUUGUCCGGAAUUAUUGGGCGUAAAGAGCUUGUAGGCGGUCUGUCGCGUCUGCUGUGAAAAUCCGGGGCUCAACCCCGGACUUGCAGUGGGUACGGGCAGACUAGAGUGUGGUAGGGGAGACUGGAAUUCCUGGUGUAGCGGUGAAAUGCGCAGAUAUCAGGAGGAACACCGAUGGCGAAGGCAGGUCUCUGGGCCACUACUGACGCUGAGACGCGAAAGCGUGGGGAGCGAACCGG
rnacentral:rRNA from 1 species